rnacentral:rRNA from 1 species
ACCCACCUGAUUCCAUGCCGAACUCAGAAGUGAAACACAAUAGCGCCGAUGGUAGUGUGGGGUUUCCCCAUGUGAGAGUAGGACAUCGCCAGGC